rnacentral:rRNA from 1 species
UACGUAGGGACCGAGCGUUGUCCGGAUUCAUUGGGCGUAAAGAGCUCGUAGGCGGCCACUCAAGUCGAAUGUGAAACCUCGAGGCUCAACCUCGAGCCUGCAUUCGAUACUGGGCGGCUAGAGUCUGGUAGGGGAUCUGGAAUUCCUGGUGAGCGGUGGAAUGCGCAGAUAUCAGGAGGAACACCGGUGGCGAAGGCGGGAUCCUGGGCCAGUACUGACGCUGAGGAGCGAAAGCGUGGGGAGCAAACAGGG